AGGGUUUGAUCCUGGGCUCAGAAUGAACGCUGGCGGCGUGCUUAACACAUGCAAGUCGUACGAGAAAAGUCCCUUCGGGGGCUGAGUAAAGUGGCGAACGGGUGAGUAACGCGUGGGUAACCUGCCCUUGAGUGUGGAAUAACUCCGGGAAACUGGGGCUAAUACUGCAUGAUAUCGCGAGAGCCUUGGCUCAUGCGAUCAAAGGUGGCGCGGUUCGACCGCUACCGCUCAUGGAGGGACCCGCGUCCCAUUAGCUUGUUGGUGGGGUAACGGCCUACCAAGGCUUCGAUGGGUAGCCGGCCUGAGAGGGUGUCCGGCCACACUGGAACUGAGACACGGUCCAGACUCCUACGGGAGGCAGCAGUGGGGAAUAUUGGGCAAUGGGCGCAAGCCUGACCCAGCGACGCCGCGUGGGUGAUGAAGGCCCUUGGGUCGUAAAACCCUGUCAUGUGGGACGAAAGACUCGGGCUCUAACAUAGCUCGGGUUUGACGGUGCCACAGGAGGAAGCCCCGGCUAACUCCGUGCCAGCAGCUGCGGNUAAUACGGAGGGGGCGAGCGUUAUUCGGAAUUAUUGGGCGUAAAGGGCAGGUAGGCGGCUCUGUAUGGUCCUCUGUGAAAGCCCUCGGCUCAACCCGA
rnacentral:rRNA from 1 species